rnacentral:rRNA from 2 species
GGCCACACCCGUUCCCAUACCGAACACGGAAGUUAAGCUCUCUAGCGCCGAUGGUAGUUGGGACCUUGUCCCUGUGAGAGUAGGACGUUGCCAGGC